rnacentral:tRNA from 1 species
GCGCCUAUAGCUCAACUGGAUAGAGUGUCUGACUACGAAUCAGAAGGUUGGGGGUUCAAGUCCUCCUGGGCGCA